rnacentral:rRNA from 1 species
UUGUCCGACUCUGUUGCCUCCGGGGCGACCCUGCCUUCGGGCGGGGGCUCCGGGUGGACACUUCAAACUCUUGCGUAACUUUGCAGUCUGAGUAAACUUAAUUAAUAAAUUAAAACUUUUAACAACGGAUCUCUUGGUUCUGGCAUCGAUGAAGAACGCAGCGAAAUGCGAUAAGUAAUGUGAAUUGCAGAAUUCAGUGAAUCAUCGAAUCUUUGAACGCACAUUGCGCCCCCUGGUAUUCCGGGGGGCAUGCCUGUUCGAGCGUCAUUUCACCACUCAAGCCUCGCUUGGUAUUGGGCAACGCGGUCCGCCGCGUGCCUCAAAUCGUCCGGCUGGGUCUUCUGUCCCCUAAGCGUUGUGGAAACUAUUCGCUAAAGGGUGUUCGGGAGGCUACGCCGUAAAACAACCCCAUUUCUAAGGUUGACCUCGGAUCAGGUAGGGAUACCCGCUGAACUUAAGC